AUUGAACGCUGGCGGCGUGCUUAACACAUGCAAGUCGAUCGGUAACAGGUGUAGCAAUACAUGCUGACGAGAGGCGGACGGGUGAGUAACACGUAGGUAACCUACCCUUAAGCGGGGGACAACUCAGGGAAACUUGAGCUAAUACCGCAUAAGACCACGGGCUGAGAUGCCAGUGGGAAAAGGAGCAAUCCACUUAAGGAUGGGCCUGCGGCCUAUCAGGUAGUUGGUGAGGUAACGGCCCACCAAGCCAGAGACGGGUAGCCGGGCUGAGAGGUUGAACGGCCACACUGGAACUGAGAUACGGUCCAGACUCCUACGGGUGGCUG
rnacentral:rRNA from 1 species